GACGAACGCUGGCGGCGUGCCUAAUACAUGCAAGUAGGACGCAGUUUCGAACGGGUGAGUAACGCGUAGGAACCUGCCUAUUAGCGGGGGAUAACUAUUGGAAACGAUAGCUAAUACCGCAUACUAGUAUAUGGCACUGCGUUGUAUUAGCUAGUAGGUAGGGUAAUGGCCUACCUAGGAAACGAUUCAUAGCCGACCUCGGAGGAUGAUCAGCCGCACUGGAACUUAGACACGGUCAAGACUCCUACGGGAGGCAGCAGGGGGGAAUAUUGGACAAUGGGCGAAAGCCUGAUCCAGCCAUGCCGCGUGUGUGAAGAAGGUCUUCGGAUUGGAAAGCACUUUAAGUUGGGAGGCGUUACCAACAGAAUAAGCACCGGCUAACUUCGUGCCAGCAGCCGCGGUAAUAC
rnacentral:rRNA from 1 species